CCAAAAGGCUCUGGGUUCCUCUCCUGUACAGCCAAGGCGACAGCUGUCAAAGUGGCAGAGAUUCCUGAAAACCAGAACGUCAAGACAUGCUGAAGGAUUUGAUUUGGAAAAGUAAAACCCAGGAUAUGAUAGUCAUUCGGAAAAUGGCAGUAUUUCUGCAGGGUCCCCCUGUCAGACAUUUACUCAUAUUUCUUCACAACACUGAGGAUGGGUGAAAAAAGAACUGGGCCAUCCACUGUGUCUUUUUGCAUAAGGUCUGACCAGAGAGGCCAUUGGACGAGCAGCGCCACGUGACAGAGAGGGGU